GAAACAAGUCAGUAGGCAACAUCUCUUCAUGGCCUCUGCAUCAACUCUUGUCCUCAUAUUCCUGCCCCAAAUUUCUUCAAUGAUGGACUAAGAUAUGACUUGUAAGUCAAAGAAACCCUUUACUGCCCAGUUUUCUUUCAGUCAUUGUGAUUUAUCACAUCAAUAGAAACCCUGAUGAGAACAGAAAUCAGUACCAGACAGUAGGGUAUUGCUGUGACAGACCUGACCAUGUUGCUUUUGAAAGGAAUGUGGGAGGACUUUGGAACUUUGGGCUAAGAAAGUCAUGGAGUAUUGAGAGCCCAGUAGGAUGUUCUGUAGGAGCUUGGAAGACAGUAGUGUCGAGAACAGUAUGACAGAGGCCUGCCUGGCUUGUGAAGUUGCAGUAAGAGAUGAAGACCCUAUUAGCCUGUUUGUGUGAAGCAUCUGUGGUGUCUGGUCAGGGGGAACUGAUGAAUCAGCUGGAGUUAACCAGAGACGGGAACCACUAAUGUCAAAUUUUUGCAUCCAUGGUCAAAGGAUGCUGGUCAGCUGGGGCUGAAGAAUCGCCUGUGAUUAAGUAGAUUAAGAGACCAGCAUUAUUGAGGGGAAGAUUUUUGAGAUGUGUCUUCUCGGGGUCACCACACUGAAGCUGUGUGCCGGAGGCAGCCAAGGUUACUUGUCCUGCUGGCAGUUAAAUUUGACAGAUAAGCAUCACUCAGGUGGAGGUGGUUUUGAAGGCAGGAAGGGGUCAUGAAGAUCAGCUGAGGUUUGACACUGUGUGACAGAGGUGAAGUUCCCUGAGGAAAACUGAGGAGAGGUUAUUGCUGAAAGUGCAGCCUAAUUGCAACAAGAGACCCCCAGCACUUUAGAGAUGCCAGUACUGUGGGAUGACCACCAAGAACAGCAGCAGUGGAGUGGAGCCAGCUGGAGACUAGAAGACAGACCGUGUGUACUGCAGGGAACAGAGCCAGAAAAGAGACCCAAGCCCAUUAUAGGAGGAUCCCAGGAGCUUCUGAAUGGAUCUCAGAUGCUAAACACCAAGUUCUUUGCAAGUUGCAAGUUUUGUUUUUGAUUUGACUGUGACUAUACCCUGGUUCUUCUCUCUUGAAAUAAGAAAGUAUUUAAUUUAUUUUUGAUUUUAGAGGAGCCCACAGUUAAGAGACUUAACAUCUUUAAAAGAGAUGUUAGACUUUUUAAAAGAGAGACUGAAUUUUUAAAGUAUUUAAAUUUGUGAAGCUGUUGGGCCUUUUAAGUUUGUAAAAUGUUUUACACUUAUAUUAAUGUGUGAUCUUGAGGGUGAAUAAGAAAGAAAAGUCUGAGUCUUAACAAUAAAGUGUUUG
rnacentral:lncRNA from 1 species